rnacentral:lncRNA from 1 species
CUAGAGGGAGAGCUUUGAAAGUCCUGGGAGCACCAGGUGGCCUGGGAUUCACCCAAGGCUGAACAGCCAGCUAGUGAAACAGAAUGUUAUUUCAUAGGGACACAUCAGCUUUCAGGAUCUGCUCAAAGAUUUUGCUAAAAAAUGGAAGUUCUCAACUAAGGCAAGGUUCAAAUCAUACCUCUCCAUGAUGCCUUGGUUCAACAAGAGAGGGAAAAGAAUUUGUUCAGCCCCAAAGGCAAAUUUCCCACUCAAACUGAUAGAUUAUUAUUUCUGGAUGAAGCUUUUAGAUUCAGACAGACGGUGUGGAAAUAAUAGACUGCAGCUGAUUCAGACACAAGAUAAGAAACUGAGGCCCAGAGAGCGAAUAUGGUCUGGCCAAGUGAAAUACUAAUAAAUGGCUGAGCUAAGCUGAGAAUCUACAUUUCUUCAUCCUUCCUCCAGGUAAAUUUUCUCUUGUAUGACACUGCCUUUGCUUGUUUACAUGUUUUCAAUUAUAUAUCUCAUCUCCUUAUGACUGAUAUCACCAGACUCCAAUCUCUCUUUCUCCCUUUAGGCAUGUAUUUCUUACCCACAUCUGCUAUGAAUCUCCAAUGGAAUGUCCUAUGACUGUCUUGUCCGAGCUUUGUGUGUGGCAUCUAUUUACUUGCGUUAUUUUAUUUGUGAACAGACCUUGGUGAUUUCAUUGAUACAGGGAACUUCUAGUGAGGAAAUGUCCUCUAUCAAAUCAUGUAAGAAACCUCUUCAAUUUAUAGAGUUGCCGAGAGCUCUGAUGUCCAACUCAAAUAGAACAUAAAGCCACUAAAUUGUACAUGAGAAUCCCUGCCAGUAGGAAAUCACAUAUUUUCAGUGUUUGAUAAAUGUUUAUUGAAUGAAUAAAUGGGAAAUGAAAAGUUCUAAAUCCA